rnacentral:rRNA from 1 species
GGAUGAGCCCGCGGCCUAUCAUCGGUAGUUGGCGGGGUAACGGCCCACCAAGCCUGAGACGGGUAGCUGGUCUGAGAGGACGACCAGCCACACUGGAACUGAGACACGGUCCAGACACCUACGGGUGGCAGCAGUCGAGAAUUUUUCACAAUGGGCGCAAACCUGAUGGAGCGACGCCGCGUGGGGGAUGAAUGGCUUCGGCCCGUAAACCCCUGUCAUUCGCGAUCAACCCUUAUUAUUUAAAAGAUGAUAAGCUGAUAGUAGCGGAAGAGGAAGGGACGGCUAACUACGUGCCAGCAGCCGCGGCCGA